UGCAAGUCGAACGAGGUAGCAAUACCUAGUGGCGGACGGGUGAGGAAUACGUAGGGAUCUGCCCUUAAGUGGGGGAUAACCCGGGGAAACCCGGAUUAAUACCGCAUGAUCUCGAGAGAGCAAAGCAGGGGACCGCAAGGCCUUGCGCUUUUGGAGGAACCUACGUCGGAUUAGCUAGUUGGUGAGGUAACGGCUCACCAAGGCGACGAUCCGUAACUGGUUUGAGAGGAUGAUCAGUCACACCGGAACUGAGACACGGUCCGGACUCCUACGGGAGGCAGCAGUGGGGAAUAUUGGACAAUGGGCGAAAGCCUGAUCCAGCAAUGCCGCGUGUGUGAAGAAGGCCUUCGGGUUGUAAAGCACUUUAAGUUGGGAAGAAAAAGCUCUGGCUAAUAUCUAGAGCCUUGACGGUACCAACAGAAUAAGCACCGGCUAACUCUGUGCCAGCAGCCGCGGUAAUACAGAGGGUGCUAGCGUUAAUCGGAUUUACUGGGCGUAAAGCGUGCGUAGGCGGUUUGAUAAGUCGAUUGUGAAAGCCCCGGGCUUAACCUGGGAAUUGCAGUUGAUACUGUCAGACUCGAAAACGGUAGAGGGAGGCGGAACUCCAGGUGUAGCGGUGAAAUGCGUAGAUAUCUGGAAGAACACCGAUGGCGACGGCAACCUCCUGGGCCUGUUUUGACGCUGAGGCACGAAAGCGUGGGUAGCAAACAGGAUUAGAUACCCUGGUAGUCCACGCCGUAAACGAUGAGAACUUGACGUUGGUUUGCUUAGCAAAUCGGUGUCGUAGCUAACGCGAUAAGUUCUCCGCCUGGGGAGUACGGCCGCAAGGU
rnacentral:rRNA from 1 species